GGGAAUCUUCCACAAUGGGCGAAAGCCUGACCGAGCAACGCCGCGUGAGUGAAGAAGGUUUUCGGAUCGUAAAACUCUGUUGUUAGAGAAGAACAAGGAUGAGAGUAGAACGUUCAUCCCUUGACGGUAUCUAACCAGAAAGCCACGGCUAACUACGUGCCAGCAGCCGCGGUAAUACGUAGGUGGCAAGCGUUAUCCGGAUUUAUUGGGCGUAAAGGGAACGCAGGCGGUCUUUUAAGUCUGAUGUGAAAGCCCACGGCUUAACCGUGGAGGGUCAUUGGAAACUGGUUGACUUGAGUGCAGAAGAGGAGAGUGGAACUCCAUGUGUAGCGGUGAAAUGCGUAGAUAUAUGGAAGAACACCAGUGGCGAAAGCGGCUCUCUGGUCUGUAACUGACGCUGAGGUUCGAAAGCGUGGGUAGCA
rnacentral:rRNA from 1 species